rnacentral:lncRNA from 1 species
CCAAGAUUCUAGAGGGCCUAAUUUUGGCCCAAAUUUGUUUUAUCAAAACAAGGUAGUUGGCCCAAAACUAAUUAUCCAAUAAUUAAACAAUAGCCCACAAGUCCAUUUACCCUUAAAUUUCAACCCAACUUAUAUAUCCAAUAUUCACAAUUCAUUUACCCAAAAGUCCCAAAAUCUGAAAUACGAUCCACGACCUGCUCAUCAUCUAAGUGUCUGUGUCGUCUUCGUCAGGUCACUACAGUCUCCACCAGUUCGCCUCCGCCCUUCUGCCGCCGAUCGCUUCGUGCACGAGUUCCCAAAAUCUUUGAGAAGUCGGUCGACUGUAAUAAUCAUUCAUUCCUUAAAAGUCAAGCAAGAAUAUAACCCAUCACCUUCCUUUCCUUAUUCUGCUACACACUUUAUCUCCCUUUUUCUAUGGCCUUCGCAACUCAGAAAUAAUGUGUGCCUUGUCUUGUAUUUUGAUAAUUUCAAGCUUAAGAAUUAUUCGUAUUAUACUGAUUUUAUCUCAACAGAGAUAUGGCGACAACCCAGCUUCGUAUCAACAAAAAUGAAUACAUGGCUAAUUUCGAUUACACUGAAACUGGAUUUUUACAGUCUUUUGACGAUGCGGGUUACCCACCCAACCCCUUUGGCGAGUUGGGUCUGCACCUAUCCCCAUCGGAGCUCCUGGAGACAGCCUACUAGGUCCUAAUCGAAGCCUGCCGGAGCUCUGGAGCCGGCAGACCCCUCACUUACAUCUCCAAUUCUGAAAGGACCGCCGAGAGGUCACAGACUCGGUCGAAGUCUACUCGUCGGUCGAAUAUUGGCUUAUUGGGUAAACUGGCAAUGGGCAUCGAUUGACAGUCACAGAAUGGUAACUGCACUUCUUUGGAAUUUUGAGGGGUUUUAAUGGUUCAUAGAUUUGUAACAUAUCCUUCAUAUUUCUUAAUGUUUUGGGAAAUUUUAAGAGAUGGUCUCUUAUUUGUGCAUUGUUGGACCGAGUUCUUUUAGCCUUUUGUUCUCCACAAUGCUGACUUGUUGUCUAGUUGUACGAGUGGUGGAAAAGCAUUUAAAUUUCCAAACAAGUAUGAAGAACCUAUAAAUUUCUCAAGUUAAAUGUUAAUGAUCUGAACUUUGCACUGAACAUUCAAGGUUUUGAAAACUAGAUAGGCCCGACUGGUUCAAUUCUUGUGUUUUUUAGUUCGUCCCCUUAUUACAUUUUAAAUUGUCAGGUAAAUUGGAGAAAAUCCCCAGUAGUGGCAUCCUAAUGACAAUGUAGUUGUGAAGGAAAUUGAAAAUAUGAACAAGAUUAAAAUGGCUCUCUUUUUCAAUCACACGAUGAACUUUCAAGACUUCAGUGAUUAUUUUAUGGGAUUUUUGCUUGAUCAAAGUAUGAUGAGAUUUCCUUUAUGUUAUAGUACUGGUUCUAGUAAGUUUAAAAAUAUUUAGCAACAUUGAGGGUUUCAUCGUGAUCCCUUUCUAAUUAAAAUUUCUAGUAGAUUUUGGUAUACUGAAUACCUGAUCCAAAAAAAAAAAAAAGUGUUGAAAAUUGGGCUUUUAAGGUCCUUUUUUGGGAUUUUACUAUGUAGGAAGUGUGAUAAAAUGAAUGAAUUUGAUAACUUAAUUGAAAGAAUUGAUUUGGAUAACUUCUUACAACGCGACAAUGCCCUAGAUUUAAUUUUACUUAAAUUUGAUAAUGUUAAGUUAAAGUAUCAUAAUUUUAUAUAAAUUUUUAUUUCAGGCUUGUGAAUUGUGACAGGAUCAUUUUCAAGGGUGUAAUUCCACAAUUUUCAUCAAAAUUGCACUUCUCAGGUAAGCAAUGGCUUGCCCUAACUGGUUAUUGAAGAGAUUGAAAAUGUUUGAAGCCUUGUCGGCUUAUAUAAUUGCAGCCUGGUCGACUAAUAUGAUUGGUUAUUGUAGGAUGAACAAUUGCACUGCCACACAUAGUAACCAUAUAGGAAACUGUAAUAGUGAGAUGACUGAGAUAUUUUGUAAUUAUUUUUUAGGUUAAUCAUUGGACAUUAGAGAAAGAAAUGGUUGA